GUAUUUAAUUUAAUAACACAGUACGAAGAUAAGGUGUCUUUAGUAGCAACGUACAAAUGAUAAAAGCUUUUAAUACGUAAUAAUUAUCAUCAGUCUAAAUAUUUGUUGAAUUGUAUCAACAUGUUUAUUUACCUGUUUGCAAUAAUUGUGAUUUUGUGUGUGAUACAUAUAAUAUUUAAUUACAAUGCGUCGGCCAGGCUCCUUAGAAGAAUACCCGGUCCCCCGGACAGGUUUAUUGUGGGAAAUUCACCAGAACUUUUACUUUCAUCAGUUGAAUUAAUGAAAUUACCAAGAAAAUAUGCUGAGCGAUGGGCGAAGUCGGGAAUAUGCAGAUUUUGGACGUUUCCUUGGGCUGCAGUGAUGAUUUACGAUCCAAAAGAUAUAGAGAUAGUCCUGUCGGGUAUGAAGCACCAUGAAAAGAGUGUGAUUUAUAAAUUUCUAAGCCCUUGGUUAGGCGAUGGAUUACUGGUAAGCGCAGGUGAAAAAUGGCAACAUCGCAGAAAAAUUCUUACACCAGCUUUUCACUUCAAUAUUUUACGACAAUUUUCGGUCAUUUUAGAAGAGAACAGUCAGCGAUUGGUUGAAAGAUUAGAGAAGACUGUGGGACAGCCCAUAGAUGUGACACCCGUUCUUUCGGAAUUUACUCUCAAUUCCAUAUGCGAAACUGCAAUGGGGACUCAAUUAAACAAAGAGACAACGGGCGCUGGCAAAGCAUACAAGGAUGCAAUUUAUGAACUAGGACAGAUAUUAGUACAAAGAUUCAUAAGUUUUCAUCUUUAUAGUGACAUCAUAUUCUUUAGUACCUCAUUGGGACGGAAAUUGAAAAAGCAUUUGAGUGCACUUCAUAGAUUCACAGAACGUGUUAUUAGUGAUAGAAAAGAUUAUCUAGAUUAUUUCGGUCUCCAAUUUUGGGGGAUGAAAUUGUUGAUGAUGAUAAAUUUAUUUACAAGAAAAGGAAGAAAACAGCCAUGCUUGAUUUACUAAUAGCAGCUGAAAGAGAUGGGGAAAUCGAUAGCCAGGGGAUCCAAGAAGAGGUCGACACGUUUAUGUUUGAAGGUCACGACACCACUGCUUCUGGGUUGACGUUUUGUUUCAUGCUUCUUGCGAAUAACAAACAUAUACAGGAUAAAAUAGUAGCCGAGUUAGACGACAUCUUCGGCGACUCGACGCGACCUGCCAACAUGGAGGAUUUUGCCAAGAUGCGUUACUUGGAAUGUUGCAUUAAAGAGUCCCUACGACUCUAUCCGCCGGUACACUUCAUUAGCCGCAACAUCAAUGAACCAGUCAAAUUGAAUAACUACGAAGUGCCAGGGGGCACAUCGUGCUUUGUAUUUAUUUAUGACUUGCACCGUCGCAGCGAUCUAUUCAAAAACCGUCGGUUUUUGAUCCCGAUCGCUUCUUACCCGAGAACAGCGUUGGGCGUCAUCCCUACUCCUACAUUCCCUUCAGUGCUGGUCCCAGGAACUGUAUAGGUCAAAAGUUUGCAAUAAUGGAGAUGAAAUCCGCAGUAUCUGAAGUGCUGCGAAAAUACGAACUACGCCCAGUAACAAGACCAUCGGAUAUAGAGUUCAUAGCAGACAUCGUACUAAGAAAUUCAGGCCCUGUGGAGGUUACUUUUGUCAAAAGGCAAAAGUAAUUCCUUCAAACUGUAGUCUUGUCGCUAAUCACCAAAGUUUAAUAAAUGUACCUAUUGAAUCA